UACGUAGGGUGCAAGCGUUGUCCGGAAUUAUUGGGCGUAAAGAGCUCGUAGGCGGUCUGUCGCGUCGGAUGUGAAAAUCCAGGGCUUAACCCUGGACCUGCAUUCGAUACGGGCAGACUAGAGUUCGGUAGGGGAGACUGGAAUUCCUGGUGUAGCGGUGAAAUGCGCAGAUAUCAGGAGGAACACCGGUGGCGAAGGCGGGUCUCUGGGCCGAUACUGACGCUGAGGCGCGAAAGCCAGGGGAGCAAACGGG
rnacentral:rRNA from 1 species